UUGAGCAAGCAGAAAAGGAUAAAUCUUGUGUUGAAUUAGAUUAUGAAAAGCUUAAAGUUAAAUUUGCUUAUUUUAAAGAGAAGAAACAGAUUAUUACUGAAGAUUAUGAAAAAUUAAAACUUGAAGUAGCUG